AGUGAACGCUGGCGGUAGGCCUAACACAUGCAAGUCGAACGGCAGCACAGUAAGAGCUUGCCCUUACGGGUGGCGAGGGGCGGACGGGUGAGGAGUGGAUCGGAAACUACUUUGACUGGGGGGAUUACGGGGGGAAAGUGACGCUAAUACCUCAUACGUCCAACGGGUGGGUGCAGUGGUUCAUGGGGGUUUUCGUGUUUCAUUUAGCCGAUGUCGGAUUAGCUUGUUGGCUUGGUAAAGGCCCACCAAGGCGACGAUCCGUAGCUGGCCUGAGAGGAUGAUCAGCCACACUGGAACUGAGACACGGUCCAGACUCCUACGGGAGGCAGCAGUAGGGAAUAUUGGACAAUGGGCGAAAGCCUGAUCCAGCAAUACCGCGUGAGUGAAGAAGGUCUUCGGGUUGUAAAGCUCUUUUAUUGGGAAAGAAAAGCAGCAGAAUAAUCCACCGAUGUUCUGACGGUACCCAAAGAAUAAGCACCGGCUAACUACGUG
rnacentral:rRNA from 1 species